UUGAAUUUUUUCACAAGACUUCGUCGGUUGUGCAUCCAACAACCUUUGAAAUUUUGGUUGAAAUCCGGUUCCGGGUCUGAAUCUCCUACCUUUUUGUAGACCACAUUAAGGUUAUUUGGUUUUGCCAAAUUUGCAAUCUGCUCAUCUUCAAAAUUCAAUGGUAGCUUGUUGUUGAAUGAUGAUCCGAGUAUUCUCCAUCAGCAUUAGAUAUCUUACAUUGGUAAUCCAUUUUUGGUAUUUGGUUUAAUGUUACAUUAUUUACCUUUUCAUCUUCCUGCCCGUCACGCUAAACAUUGUUGACGGAGAAAAUACUGCGGACAACAUUUAGGUCUCGUACGACAGAAACAUUCACGUCUUCUUACUACCGUCAGAUUACCUACCUUGUCUUCCUGUGCGUAAUGGAGAAGAGUCACUGGUCUCAAAAAUAUUGAAACUGUUUUAAUAUCAUUUAUUCUUAUCUGUAACUUUUAUAGUCUGCACGCAUGACUGAUGCACUGGUUUCGAGGUUGUGGGCAAGUGAAAGAGGAUCGCAAAAAAAAUCGCCAUCUCUACUACAGGCAUUUUUGUAUACAUUUAUUUUGUUUUUUUUUGCCAUUGACCAGCCCCAAAGCAUGUUAUAUUAGUAAAUCUCAAAUGAUGGAGUGCCAACAAGAAUUAAAAUGCCUAAUACGCGGGUUUGAUGGCUAUUGCCAUGAAGACUGCCGAAGCUGGCCAUCUUACGGAAACCUAGAAAUGGCGUGACUUCCACAUCAAACAUGUAUUAGAAUUUUAGUGGAGGAGUUUUUUGUUAAACAUGCUCCGCCUACACAAAAAUGUUCUGUUCAGAGCCUCAUACUAUGGUUUUCAUUUCCAAUUUGUAUGUUCUUUCGCAAGCGUGUGCCAGAAGUUUUAUAUGGGUGCCAAACAGUGUACCUAUGAGUCAUGUAAGUCAUAUGAGCAAGAAUUUUUGUGCUUAACGGUUUUUUUUUCUGUUCUUAAAAUAGGUUAAUAGUAACACUGGAUCUGAAAAGGGUCUUGAAUGAGGCGAGACACUGAAUAAAUUGUGAUGACUAACGUA